rnacentral:rRNA from 1 species
AUGAACGCGCACCGUGCCGAGCUCGCGCGCUGGCUCCAGCUCCUCGCCGCCAAGGGCGUCCAGGACCUGGCCCUCGUAAACUGCCCGUGGCCGCGCGACGUGCCCCUCCUGGCCACGCUCUUCGCCGUCACCACCCUCACCCGCCUCUACCUCGGCAUGUGGAAGUUGCCGGGCACGGCCGCCCUGCGUAGCGCCUCCUUUCCCCACCUCCGCGAGCUCGGCCUGGGUUCCUUCGAAAUGGAGCAGGGCGUGGUCGACUCCCUCGUCGCCAGGAGCCCCGCGCUGGAGAUGCUCAACAUCCUGGGAUGCAAGGGGCUGCGCCUCCGCCUCGUCAGCCAGAGCCUGCGGUGCAUGCAGAUCAGCUGCUCGAGAAUGGAGGACGUCGCCGUAGUAAAGGCUCCAUGCCUCGCGCUCGAGCGGCUCAUCCUUUUUGGAUCUGGCCAGAACAGUAUUUUUUUAACCUCUUUAUUCAAUAGAUAA